AGAGUUUGAUCCUGGCUCAGAACGAACGCUGGCGGCAGGCCUAACACAUGCAAGUCGAGCGAGGGGUAACCCUAGCGGCGGACGGGUGAGUAACGCGUGGGAACGUGCCCUUUGCUACGGAAUAGCCCCUGGAAACGGGGAGUAAUACCGUAUGAGCCCUUAGGGGGAAAGAUUUAUCGGCAAAGGAUCGGCCCGCGUUGGAUUAGGUAGUUGGUGGGGUAAUGGCCUACCAAGCCGACGAUCCAUAGCUGGUUUGAGAGGAUGAUCAGCCACACUGGGACUGAGACACGGCCCAGACUCCUACGGGAGGCAGCAGUGGGGAAUCUUAGACAAUGGGCGCAAGCCUGAUCUAGCCAUGCCGCGUGAGCGAUGAAGGCCUUAGGGUUGUAAAGCUCUUUCAGGGGGGAAGAUAAUGACUGUACCCCCAGAAGAAGCCCCGGCUAACUCCGUGCCAGCAGCCGCGGUAAUACGGAGGGGGCUAGCGUUGUUCGGAAUUACUGGGCGUAAAGCGCACGUAGGCGGACUGGAAAGUCAGGGGUGAAAUCCCGGGG
rnacentral:rRNA from 1 species